rnacentral:lncRNA from 1 species
CAAAGUUUACUUAUAAUAAUAAUAAUAAUAAUAAUAAUAAUCAUCUACAUAUUAACCCAACCUAACCCCACGUCACCCACCCUAUUGCAUUCAAACCCUAAUUUAUUUCUACCUCAUCCCUCUCUCUAUCUCUCUUCUCAGUCCCGUUGGUCUUUUCCGGUGACUUCUCUCUAACGUUGAACCGAUGGUCAAUCAUCGUUGGAGAAAUCGAUAGAAAAUUGCUACUGUUAAAGUCAUCUCUUGUCUCUAGCCAUCCGGCACUGCAAUCGCUGUUAAAAUCAUCCCUCGCCUCUAGCCAUCUGAUGGUCAAUCAUCGUCGUUGCAAUCAUCACUUCAGAUGAUGCUGCUAUAGUCACUACUUCAGAUUGUGGUGUUGGUGUUCGUCUGACGCUGCUUGCCUAAGAAAUUGUGUUUGGAUGUUGUUAUUGACGGUGUUGUGGUGAUGGUAGUGCUGUAGUGGUGUUGGUGUUGGUGUCGUGGUGGUGACGUUGGUGACGGUUGCGGCGAUGGUGAUGGUGAUUUUAUUAGAUUUAUUGAUAUAGGCGACGGUGGCGACUGUAGUACUCGAAGACAGAUUUGGGGAUGUUUUUUAUUUUAUUUUUUUGGUAGGGGAUAUGGAGUGGAGUGGUGGGCUAUUGGCAACGGC